UAAGUAAGCUUUGAUCCAGAGAUUUCCGAAUGGGGAAACCCAGCAUGAGUUAUGUCAUGUUAUCGAUAUGUGAAUACAUAGCAUAUCAGAAGGCACACCCGGAGAACUGAAACAUCUUAGUACCCGGAGGAAGAGAAAGAAAAUUCGAUUCCCUUAGUAGCGGCGAGCGAAACGGGAAGAGCCCAAACCAACAAGCUUGCUUGUUGGGGUUGUAGGACACUCUAUACGGAGUUACAAAGGACGACAUUAGACGAAUCAUCUGGAAAGAUGAAUCAAAGAAGGUAAUAAUCCUGUAGUCGAAAAUGUUGUCUCUCUUGAGUGGAUCCUGAGUACGACGGAGCACGUGAAAUUCCGUCGGAAUCUGGGAGGACCAUCUCCUAAGGCUAAAUACUCUCUAGUGACCGAUAGUGAACCAGUACCGUGAGGGAAAGGUGAAAAGCACCCCGGAAGGGGAGUGAAAUAGAACCUGAAACCGUGUGCUUACAAGUAGUCAGAGCCCGUUAAUGGGUGAUGGCGUGCCUUUUGUAGAAUGAACCGGCGAGUUACGAUUUGAUGCAAGGUUAAGCAGUAAAUGUGGAGCCGUAGCGAAAGCGAGUCUGAAUAGGGCGUUUAGUAUUUGGUCGUAGACCCGAAACCAGGUGAUCUACCCUUGGUCAGGUUGAAGUUCAGGUAACACUGAAUGGAGGACCGAACCGACUUACGUUGAAAAGUGAGCGGAUGAACUGAGGGUAGCGGAGAAAUUCCAAUCGAACCUGGAGAUAGCUGGUUCUCUCCGAAAUAGCUUUAGGGCUAGCCUCAAGUGAUGAUUAUUGGAGGUAGAGCACUGUUUGGACGAGGGGCCCCUCUCGGGUUACCGAAUUCAGACAAACUCCGAAUGCCAAUUAAUUUAACUUGGGAGUCAGAACAUGGGUGAUAAGGUCCAUGUUCGAAAGGGAAACAGCCCAGACCACC
rnacentral:rRNA from 1 species